GUAAAAUAUUGAAAUAGACAAGACUUAUUUAAGAAUGGGUUUAGGUACUCAAAAAUUAACUAUAAUUUACAUUUGUACAUUAUUUUUCAGCAUCAGAAAAAGAAUAUUGUCUACACGCGGAUGAUGAGUGCUUGACGAAAUCAUUAAAAGAUCGUAUAUAUCAGAAAUUUGUACGAGGAUUAGAUGGAGUAGAAUCUUCAGAUCCAUUGCAAGUGGACAAAAUAGACGAUGAUCUGCAGAACUUGAAAUAUGUGCUUAGGAAAGCAACGCUUACUGGGUUAGGGAAGUGCGAUUUUCUUCGGUUAAAACUCACUCGAGAAGGUGAAUCACUUGUUACGUAUGAACUCCUUUGUCCCAGCCUGGUAAUUAAAUCAGAUUAUGAACUGAAGGGCGCAUUAGAUGGACUAGAUGCAGAGGGAAAAGAUACCUGUGAAAUUACUUAUUAUAAUUAUCACAUAAACGUCACUGGCAAGUAUGAAAAAACAGUAGACGACGAAGGCAAACAUCACUUCCAUAUCAAGGAGUUUUGGCUGAACUUAGACAAUCAAGCAGAAGCGACGUCAGAAUACAAAAACCUAUCAGUAAAAAACGA